GUGGUAAUUCUAGAGCUAAUACAUGCUACAAACCUCGACUUCGGGAGAGGUGUAUUUAUUAGAUAAAAAACCAAUGCCCUCCGGGGCUCUUUGGUGAUUCAUAAUAACUCAACGAAUCGCAUGGCCUUGCGCCGGCGAUGGUUCAUUCAAAUUUCUGCCCUAUCAACUUUCGAUGGUAGGAUCGAGGCCUACCAUGGUUUUUACGGGUAACGGGGAAUUGUACGUACUACUUCAAGUCAGCACACCAGUUUGCAAAGCACAUGCUAACUUUUGCCACAGAGGGUUCUAUUCCGGAGAGGGAGCCUGAGAAACGUGAGUGCAUUUAAUUUACCCUCGACCAUUCACGGCUAACAGUCCGUCAACAGGGCUACCACAUCCAAGGAAGGCAGCAGGCGCGCAAAUUACCCAAUCCAGACACUGGGAGGUAGUGACAAUAAAUACAAAUUUGGGACUCUUUUGGGUCCCAAAAUUUGAAUGAGUACAAUUUAAAUCCCUUAACGAGGAACAAUUGGAGGGCAAGUCUGGUGGAAUUCGAUUAUGCGUCAUAGAGGUACUGGAGGAGGACCCUCUUUGACGAAGCAUUUCUUGCUGGCACCAGAAAUUGUGAUUGGGCCAACGGCCCGCCAGUCCCCGCCCCAUUGCGGGGGCCAGGCGUCUGGCUCGGGGCAUGUCGAGUGAUCUCGGCUUAUCCCGCGGUGGAAGCUCAAAAAGGGGUUUCACUGUAACGCGCGCAAAGACGCCGGCCACUGCGUGGCUUCAGGUACGUGCUAUUCUCUUCAGGGCACUGAGGAGUGACAUCUGUAGGCCAGCAGCCGCGGUAAUUCCAGCUCCAAUAGCGUAUAUUAAAGUUGUUGCAGUUAAAAAGCUCGUAGUUGAAACUUGGGCCUGGCCGGCCGGUCCGCCUCACCGCGUGCACUGGUUCGGCCGGGCCUUUCCUUCUGGGGAACCGCAUGCCCUUUGUUGGGCGUGCCGGGGAACCAGGACUUUUACUUUGAAAAAAUUAGAGUGUUCAAAGCAGGCCUAUGCUCGGAUACAUUAGCAUGGAAUAAUAGAAUAGGACGCGCGGUUCUAUUUUGUUGGUUUCUAGGACCGCCGUAAUGAUUAAUAGGGAUAGCCGGGGGCGUCCGUACUCAAUUGUCAGAGGUGAAAUUCUUGGAUUUAUUGAAGACGAACUACUGCGAAAGCAUUCGCCAAGAAUGUUUUCAUUAAUCAGUGAACGAAAGUUAGGGGAUCGAAGACGAUCAGAUACCGUCGUAGUCUUAACCAUAAACGAUGCCGGCUAGGGAUCGGACGGUGUUAUCAUUUUGACCCGUUCGGCACCUUACGAGAAAUCAAAGCUUUUGGGUUCUGGGGGGAGUAUGGUCGCAAGGCUGAAACUUAAAGACAUUGACGGAAGGGCACCACCAGGCGUAAAAACAGUGGUUCUGCGCCUGCACCAAACAGUCUGCCGCCUUCCACGGCGGCAUCUGGUGCCCGGCUGGCUUCGCCAGUGCUUGAUAUAGCUCGGUUUAGCCGGACAAUGUGCUCAAAUUGCUGGAACAUCUUGAGGCUCGGUGGUACUCCCCCGGCGUUGAAAAGCGCAGGCUAUAGUAACAAUCCACCGCGCCGCCUGAAAGACCACCCGCAACCACCCACCUAAAGACCAUCUAAGGUGUGCGGCUCAGAGAUCAGACGAGCAUGGACAUGUGUUUGAGAGAUUUAGGUCAGUCUGCUGCAUGAAUAUGGGAUAUUGCAUUGCUCUAAACAUUACAUUUGUCAUCCAUUUUCGAAGUUACUCGCAGAACACUGUGUCUCCAGAGAUGUUUAAACUAUGAUCCAUCCAGCCUGCCACACAGGCUGGAUCGAUGGGAACCUGCGGCUUAAUUUGACUCAACACGGGGAAACUCACCAGGUUAACGUUCAGAGUUACGUCUGGGCCUGGAAUCAUCAGUUCUUCUGGACUGUCAGUGCCGUGGAGCUCACCACGGUGCAACGCUAGCUGGUACAGGGAAUAUUGUCUUCAUGAUUUGACCCUGUGGUGGUCCUUUUUUAAAGGACCUCUGCAACGCACACCAAGCAGCGGGCGCUGCCAAAGUCCAUUGGCUAUGCUUUAUGUAUGUGCUAAACUUGCGAGGAGUUCGCAGUCCAUUGCUUCCGCGGAUUUUAUUCUGUGUGGGCAGAGGACCUCCGGCUUGCCUCGGGGCAUGCCGGAGAGUCACGCGAUCAAUGAACCACUCAGGGAAGUGCAACAGGUUGCUUAUUCUCUUUGCGAAUUACGGUCCCUUUGGUUGCUUGAUGCCAGACAUUGUGAGGAUUGACAGAUUGAGAGCUCUUUCUUGAUUCGAUGGUUGGU
rnacentral:rRNA from 1 species